UACGUAGGGGGCAAGCGUUGUCCGGAAUCAUUGGGCGUAAAGAGCGUGUAGGCGGUCCGGUAAGUCCGCUGUGAAAGUCGGGGGCUCAACCCUCGAAUGCCGGUGGAUACUGUCGGGCUAGAGUGCGGAAGAGGCGAGUGGAAUUCCUGGUGUAGCGGUGAAAUGCGCAGAUAUCAGGAGGAACACCGAUGGCGAAGGCAGCUCGCUGGGACGUUACUGACGCUGAGACGCGAAAGCGUGGGGAGCAAACAGG
rnacentral:rRNA from 1 species